GACGAACGCUGGCGGCGUGCUUAACACAUGCAAGUCGAACGGAAAGGCCCUGCUUUUGUGGGGUGCUCGAGUGGCGAACGGGUGAGUAACACGUGAGUAACCUGCCCUUGACUUUGGGAUAACUUCAGGAAACUGGGGCUAAUACCGGAUAGGAGCUCCUGCUGCAUGGUGGGGGUUGGAAAGUUUCGGCGGUGGGGGAUGGACUCGCGGCUUAUCAGCUUGUUGGUGGGGUAGUGGCUUACCAAGGCUUUGACGGGUAGCCGGCCUGCGAGGGUGACCGGCCACAUUGGGACUGAGAUACGGCCCAGACGCCUACGGGAGGCAGCAGUGGGGAAUAUUGCACAAUGGGCGGAAGCCUGAUGCAGCAACGCCGCGUGCGGGAUGACGGCCUUCGGGUUGUAAACCGCUUUCGCCUGUGACGAAGCGUGAGUGACGGUAAUGGGUAAAGAAGCACCGGCUAACUACGUG
rnacentral:rRNA from 1 species